GCCUUGGAGAGCUGCAGUUCCAACAGCAGAGCACAGCGUGAACUUUGGGAAGAUUCUCUCUAAUGGAUGUCCCCAGAGGACAAGCCUUGUUGAAAAAAAUUGUGUUGAGACCCAGUGGGGGAAGAGACUGCAGUUUCCAGGUGUCCAAGCAGCCUGCAGGGAACAGAGCAAGUGCUGAGGUACCAAGGUGGCCUCUGAGAGCACAAACCAGAGUAUGCCUCUUCAGGAAUGUCUCUUGCAGCCAAUGGCAAUGGGAACAAGGCCCAGAAGCAGAAGGAGCUGCAGCCCAGGGCUGCUCCCAGCUCUUCUACCCCCAGCCUUCUUCCUGAGCAGCAGCACCAGUGCAAGUGUGCCAGGUACUGCCCUGAUUUUUGGAAUAAAACACACAGUUUCAGUUCUUAAGAUACA
rnacentral:lncRNA from 1 species